UCACACCACCAGUUUGCCGAGGAA
rnacentral:misc_RNA from 1 species